UGCAUACAUCCCUGAGUGCCCGCCACACCCACCCCUUCCUCCCCAGGCUACGUCCCUUGCUCCAUCUUUGAGCACAGAGAAUCUCAUGUUCCACAAAUAUCUCCCAGUAACGAGUCGAUCUGUGGGAUCUGCCUUUGGCUGAGUCAGCAGACAAGAACUCCAGCCUUGCUUCUUUCCGCAAAGACCUGACCUCGCCCAAUUUGGCAAUCACCUGAGCAGGCUUUGCUCCAUAGUGCCCCCUGCUGGGGAGUGGGAACUUGGCAGGGGGCAGUCUGCUCUGUGCGUCUGGCAAGCAGGCAUAAAUUUUUAUUUAUGCAAUUUUUAUUUUUUAUUUAUUUGACUCACUCUUCAAACACCCACAGUCAACUGGGGCUGGGCCAGGGCUGAAACCAGGAGCUAGGAGCAUAACUGAGGUCUUCUAUGUGGGUGGAAGGAACUGAAUUACUUGUGUCACCACCAGUGUCUCCCAGGGUCUGCAUCAGCAGGAAGCUGGAAUCAGGAGCUGGAGCCAGGAUUGAACCAAGAAUCCCAUGGGCCACAAUGGCAAGAUGUACCCCUGAUAUGCAUGGCUCAGACACAGGGGCAUCCACUCCUCCACUGAAUGGAAGUUCAACACCUGCAUUCUCAUCACCACUAAGCCCUGGUCUUGGAGGUCAGGACGCACAACCUCAGGCUCCUCCUAAAAGCCAACCAGCACACAACUGUUCCUAGUCACAAUGCUUUGCAAGCCUUCGGGGAAGGAAGGGGUGGGCUUCCUGCUAAAGCAAGUAAGGAUUUCCAUCUACAGGAUUCAACUGCAGUCAGCAAAGAACAAAUCUCCUACCUUCUCCACCGCCUUGGAGCAAGUCUGGGAGAAGAAAAGGCCACACAAGUUGGGGUUUGCAGAGAUUCACUCUCUGUAAAGACCCUCUAUGUCUCCCACUUCUUAACACCAUUUACAGCCUAUGCCAAAGUUUACUGAUGUCCAACCUUGACUAUUUGUACUGUUUGGGGACACUUUCUUGAGCUCUUAUGCCAUUUGUGUUUCAAAAAAAAAAAAAAAAAACAUUAAUUAAACCACAGCCCUCAUGACUUCUCCAAAAAAUAUAUCUUACAAAUUUCUACCCAUUUUAAAACAGGAUAGUUCUAAAAACUACCCUCUAAAAGUUGUGUGAAAAGUAGAUGACUGUGAACCAAAUCAUGGAAGUCCUGGAUCUGCUUGGACUCAGACAAUUGCAGGAAUCUUUGGCAGGCAGGCCUACCCAGAGUCACCGCUCGUGGAAACCCCUGGGGGCACCUAGGAGCGUGGAACUGAGCUUUAGCCACGUCAAAGUCUAGAAAGUUCUAGUGAAUGAUCCAUCUCUAAAGAUAACUGUUUGCUGAGAGCAGACCGGGUUCUCAGGGGGUGUCUGGCAGGAUAACCACUCACCUUUGCAAAGUGCACAAGGAAUGCGCCUCCUCCACUCGCCUCUCUGAUUGUGGCAACACAAAAGCCACCGUCCCAGGUCAUGUAAGAAGCACACAGGUCAUCACAACUCUGCUCAUUUUUCACCGCUUGUCCAAACACGGGCCCAAACUGGCUCUGUGGUACCACUCACCUCACCGUGUCUGCAGGAGGGCAGGAAGUACGUUAGAAUUAUGCACCAAGCUCAAAGACUCACCUUUACAAAUGGAAAGCUCCAAGGAGGGAAAACCGAAUGGCCUGGCCUUCUGUCCGCUCCCCUAAAAUGCAGCCAAAUCAGCAGCACAUACCCCGAGAACCCUGCAAAGUACAUCAGGGAAAGCGGUACAAAGAAAGGACGAAUUCCCAAGUCAGCUCCGUGUCAUUUUGCAUUUCAGAGAAAAUGAAAGGAAAGGAUAAACGCAAAUUAGUGCUCCAGAGUUUGGGAAAAACAAAGAUAGCAAACCCCAAAGCUUUCCUUUGACAGAUAAGAAAACUGGAAAACAGGAAGUUCCCUGGUAGAUGAGAAGCUAAGGAAAACCCCCUACAGGUCACAGCUUCGUGGCUUUUUCCUAAGCCUGACGAGAAUUCCAGGAGCCUGCUGAAAGGAAUGACUAGGAAUGGCCGACCUCACACCCAGCUGAGGAGAAGGAUACAACCAUCAACUACAGAUGGCCGAGCUCCUUAUCAAGAACCUGGCUAAUGCCCUGGGUCCCCUGGACUGACCAACACCAGAACAAAGCCUGAAGAGCUGCUUAAUUAUCGAUCGGCCUCAUUUUUUCCUCACCUCCACCUGAAGCUACCCUUUCCCUUGAAAAACCCUUUUUUGCUGGCUUGUUGGGAGGGAAAGAACACAUUUUGGAUCUGGAAAUCACUCUCUCCCCCAGACUACUGGCUUCUUGACAUAAAGCCUUCCUCUUACGGCCUCUCCUCUCUGGUGAGCUGGCUGUCCAGGAGUGAGCAGCAGAGCCUGAUUAUUGCAGAGCAUAACAACACCAAGGAAAACAGACUCCAAAUAAUUCUGAAUAAAUGUUGCUACGUGUCCUUUA